rnacentral:rRNA from 1 species
CGCUGGCGGCAGGCCUAACACAUGCAAGUCGAGCGGCAACAGAGGAACUUGUUCCUUGGGUGGCGAGCGGCGGACGGGUGAGUAAUGCCUGGGAAAUUGCCCUGAUGUGGGGGAUAACCAUUGGAAACGAUGGCUAAUACCGCAUGAUGCCUACGGGCCAAAGAGGGGGACCUUCGGGCCUCUCGCGUCAGGAUAUGCCCAGGUGGGAUUAGCUAGUUGGUGAGGUAAUGGCUCACCAAGGCGACGAUCCCUAGCUGGUCUGAGAGGAUGAUCAGCCACACUGGAACUGAGACACGGUCCAGACUCCUACGGGAGGCAGCAGUGGGGAAUAUUGCACAAUGGGCGCAAGCCUGAUGCAGCCAUGCCGCGUGUAUGAAGAAGGCCUUCGGGUUGUAAAGUACUUUCAGUCGUGAGGAAGGUUGUAGUGUGAAUAGCACUAUGAUUUGACGUUAGCGACAGAAGAAGCACCGGCUAACUCCGUGCCAGCAGCCGCGGUAAUACGGAGGGUGCGAGCGUUAAUCGGAAUUACUGGGCGUAAAGCGCAUGCAGGUGGUUUGUUAAGUCAGAUGUGAAAGCCCUGGGCUCAACCUAGGAGUUGCAUUUGAAACUGACAAGCUAGAGUACUGUAGAGGGGGGUAGAAUUUC